CAUGCCGCGUGUGUGAAGAAGGCUUCGGGUUGUAAAGCACUUUAAGCGGGGAGGAAAGUUCGCAACUUAAUACGUUGCGGAAUUGACGUUACCCGCAGAAUAAGCACCGGCAAACUCCGUGCCAGCAGCCGCGGUAAUACGGAGGGUGCGAGCGUUGAUCGGAAUUACUGGGCGUAAAGCGCACGUAGGCGGUUUGUUAAGUCGGAUGUGAAAUCCCCGGGCUCAACCUGGGAGCGGCAUUCGAUACUGGCUGACUUGAGUACGAGAGAGGGGGGUGGAAUUCCAGGUGUAGCGGUGAAAUGCGUAGAUAUCUGGAGGAACAUCAGUGGCGAAGGCGGCCCCCUGGCUCGAUACUGACGCUGAGGUGCGAAACGUGGGGAGCAAACAGGAUUAGAUACCCUGGUAGUCCACGCCGUAAACGAUGUCGAC
rnacentral:rRNA from 1 species